GAUGAACGCUGGCGGCGUGCCUAACACAUGCAAGUCGAACGCUCGCAAGAGAGUGGCGCACGGGUGAGUAACACGUAGCUAAUCUGCCCUCAAGACAAGGAUAACUGUAGGAAACUACUGCUAAUACUUGAUAAGCUUACGGACUGUAGAGGUCUAUAAGAAAGAUUUAUCGCUUGAGGAUGAGGCUGCGCGCCAUCAGCUAGUUGGUAAGGUAAUGGCUUACCAAGGCGACGACGGCUAGGGGACCUGAGAGGGUGACCCCCCACACUGGGACUGAGACACGGCCCAGACUCCUACGGGAGGCAGCAGUGAGGAAUAUUGCUCAAUGGGCGCAAGCCUGAAGCAGCGACGCCGCGUGGAUGAAGAAGGUUUUCGGACUGUAAAAUCCUUUCUGUGUGACGAGAGUGGACGGUAGCACAGGAAUAAGUCUCGGCUAACUACGUGCCAGCAGCCGCGGUAAU
rnacentral:rRNA from 1 species